rnacentral:rRNA from 1 species
AUUGAACGCUGGCGGCAUGCCUUACACAUGCAAGUCGAACGGCAGCGGACCUUCGAGUGCCGGCGAGUGGCGAACGGGUGAGUAAUAUAUCGGAACGUACCUUUCAGUGGGGGAUAACGUAGCGAAAGUUACGCUAAUACCGCAUAUUCUGUGAGCAGGAAAGCAGGGGAUCGCAAGACCUUGCGCUGAUUGAGCGGCCGAUAUCAGAUUAGCUAGUUGGUGAGGUAAAGGCUCACCAAGGCGACGAUCUGUAGCGGGUCUGAGAGGAUGAUCCGCCACACUGGAACUGAGACACGGUCCAGACUCCUACGGGAGGCAGCAGUGGGGAAUUUUGGACAAUGGGCGCAAGCCUGAUCCAGCCAUGCCGCGUGAGUGAAGAAGGCCUGG